UACGUAGGGACCGAGCGUUGUCCGGAUUCAUUGGGCGUAAAGAGCUCGUAGGCGGCUGCUCAAGUCGAAUGUGAAACCUCGAGGCUUAACCUCGAGCCUGCAUUCGAUACUGGGCGGCUAGAGUCUGGUAGGGGGAUCUGGAAUUCCUGGUGUAGCGGUGGAAUGCGCAGAUAUCAGGAGGAACACCGGUGGCGAAGGCGGGAUCCUGGCCCGGUACUGACGCUGAGGUGCGAAGGUCAGGGGAGCAAACGGG
rnacentral:rRNA from 1 species